rnacentral:tRNA from 1 species
UGUUGGCGCAGUGGUAGAACACUAGCCUGUUAAGUCAGGAUGCGUUGGUUCGAACCCUGCCAGAAGAA